AUAAUCUUCAUUCACAAAUGUAUACUCUAGCAAAAUGUGACCAAUGUCAGCUGAUGAGUGAUGGUCAUGUUAACAUCGAUCACAACAGGACAAUAUUACAACAAAGUAACUUCAAAUUCUGUCAAUACGCUGUAAUAUAACAAAUUCAUUUAUACCACAGUGUCCUCUAAGAUAACUCACCUUGCUCUUCAUGUUCUAUAGCCAACCGCAAGCUUCAAAAGGUCAGCCGAACAGAACAACAACAAAAUUGAAGAGACUUUGGGCAUAGAGAGAAGAUGUCGGGAUGUAGCAGUAAGAGGUGACUGUGACUCCAUUCAAACAUAGACUUAAGCUUUAAAGAAAGGAAGGCUCAUGUAAGAGAACGAGCAUAACAAUUGCAGAGCUUUCCAAUCAAGCAAUUUACUGCAAUCAAAAUCUUGCCUUUGUGGGCUGUAUCAGAGCUAAUGAGCGCGCUUUCCAGGCUAAAAGACUUAUUUGGCAUUCAUAAUCAAACAAGUCGACUUGUUCCCAAACUAAGGACACAGUCAAUACAGCCAACACAGAUGGAUAUCCUCACCGCAUAAAGAGGACAUUUUCAACUGAUAACAUAGAUUCAUCAGCCAACAUUGAUAAUCCAAACUGAAGCCUACAAGUAAUGGCAGUUCCAAUUUUCUCCUGCAUAAAAAAGAAAGACAAAU
rnacentral:lncRNA from 1 species